rnacentral:rRNA from 1 species
AUUGAACGCUGGCGGCAGGCCUAACACAUGCAAGUCGAGCGGAUGAAGGGAGCUUGCUCCUGGAUUCAGCGGCGGACGGGUGAGUAAUGCCUAGGAAUCUGCCUGGUAGUGGGGGAUAACGUCCGGAAACGGGCGCUAAUACCGCAUACGUCCUGAGGGAGAAAGUGGGGGAUCUUCGGACCUCACGCUAUCAGAUGAGCCUAGGUCGGAUUAGCUAGUUGGUGGGGUAAAGGCCUACCAAGGCGACGAUCCGUAACUGGUCUGAGAGGAUGAUCAGUCACCCUGGAAGUGGAGCACCGUCCAGACUCCUACGGGAGGCAGCAGUGGGGAAUAUUGGACAAUGGGCGAAAGCCUGAUCCAGCCAUGCCGCGUGUGUGAAGAAGGUCUUCGGAUUGUAAAGCACUUUAAGUUGGGAGGAAGGGCAGUAAGUUAAUACCUUGCUGUUUUGACGUUACCAACAGAAUAAGCACCGGCUAACUUCGUG